UUUAUGAAUGUCGUCUAUUGUAGAUUAGAAAACAAAAAAGAAAUAUCAUUUCCGUCCCGAGAGUUUUAAGAUGAGAAUACUUUUUCGAAAUCUAUUCAUGCUUUCAUCUGAAUAGACAUGGUUUUCAUGAAAGAUCCGUGCGGGUUGUUGAAGAUGCAACAUGUCUCUCUCUACCCAAUUCCAUGAUGUUCUUCAGAGGAAUUCUUUGAAAAUCUCUUACAACUUCUGAACCUUAGAGGAGCUGGAUAUUUCUUUAUCGUAUUUUCGAAGCCAUUGGUGAAAGAAAGCGAUUCCAAUGGAAUUGUAUCUACGAAAGGAUUCCACGUUUCCGUUCCCAUCAGCACGGGCUGUGGAAGAUCCAACACGUCUCUCUCUCUCUACCCAAUCCCAUGAUGUUCUUAACUGAAUAUUCUUUGAGAAUCUCUUACCAUUUCCGAACCUUAGACGAGCUAUAUGUUUUUCUUUUUCGUAUUUUUAAAGCCAUUUGUCAAAGAAGAAGAUUCCAAUAGAAGGAUUUAUGAAUUUUGAACAUGUCACCCAUGGAUGAUUUGGGGCUAAACUAAAAUCAUGGGAGGGGAUACUGGAACGCCCCGAGAGCUGACAUCGUUCUAGGAUGAGAAUGUUUUUCAAGAUCUAUUUCUGCUUUCGUCUACACAGAAAUGCUUUUCACGAAAGAUUAUGGAACAGGAAUAUUUCUCUUCUUAAAGUGAAAAAACAUAUCCUUCAAUCCAU